GGUAAUAAUUUUAUAUAUAUAAACUCCUCUCCUUUGGAGCAAUUACAUCAAUAUACAAGCCUUAAAAUCCAAAGAACACCAAAAUACUUGAUAAAGUGUUAUAAAAAACUUAUAUAUCCUUAUGAGGAAUUUUUUCCGAAAUUCAACAGCUCAUAACUUACGAUCUAACCGUCUAAACAACUCCAAAUUUUACAUGGAGUACUGAUAUAUCUUUAGAAACUACCACACCAAAAUUCAACCGUAAAUUCGUCUUGGAUCUUGUGAUAUCUUGAAAACCCUAACUGUAGCUUCAAACCCUAGCUUUUUUACACCCGUGUACAACUUCCUUCAUAUCUCACAAAUUAAUUAUUCAAAUACUAUGAAACUUUGAUUUAAAUCUUCUUAACCCAAUUACACACACUUGUGAAAAUUUUGAGCCAAAAAAUCGUUCAAAAACUCAAGAUAUGGCUUCAUCCAUAACUAGCAACAAAACGAUAUACUUACUGCCUUCAAAUUACAAGUGCUGUCUUCAACGCCUCAUAACUUCUUCAUCCAAUCUUAGAAUUCAUUAUAUAGUAAGUAGAAUGUGUAGCCGAGAAAAUGCUCCCUCCAAAUCCAGUCGCCGAUCUUCCGUUGCUCUCCGUAUUCGUAUGUGAUGCCCAAAAGAAGUGACAGUAGGUAUGAAAUUGACAUCUUAUCUUUGAACAUUCAUAUCUUUUCCAUAAAAACUCGAAAUCACACAAAAUCUUCACCCAAAUUAUACCCAAAACCCUAAACCUUCUGUCCCUAGCCUCAAAAGCUCGAAUGGCCUCGAAAGAGGAACCCUAAUUCCUAAUAUGGCCUCGGGCAGCCUCCUCAAAGCCCAUUGGGCAUAGUAUUCGACCAAUAGGGAUGAAGUUCUUCACCCCUUGCCUUCAUCCAACCAUGCCUUACUUUCAUCCUUCCCAAUAAGCCUCCUUCUAGUUAUAUUUUCAUCUUUUAACUCCUCCCUUCCCUUAAUCUUUAUACUAACUAUCUAAAUCCUAUAUAAUAUAAACUCUAUGAUCAAACUAGAUUAACUUCCAAAUAAUUUUU
rnacentral:lncRNA from 1 species